UGCUGUAGGGGCUGGAGGUGUCAUGGGCGGCAUGGGCAUGGGUGUCAUGCUGCUGGUCAGUGGUAUAGGUGCUGAAGGCUAUAGGUGAAUAUAUGUUUAAGCAUUAUGGGUCUGAAGUAGACAGUGCGAGAAAUCGCCCCUGGUACCCAUUGGAUAGAAUGCUGGGUGGGCCCCAGAGCCGGUAUGGACGCUGUGGAGUAGAAAAAAUCUUGCCCUGCCAGGACAUUUUAGUAGAUGUGCAACUGCCAAUCUUGUUCCAUUGCAGAAGACUUGGGAUGGCAUAAGACACUGCAGUAGCAUAAUUAUACCACCUACCUUCAGUUUUACCUCAUAAAGUAGUUCAUAAAACGUUAUGUAAGUGUCUAAUGUUCAGCUGAAAAAUGCUUAGAUUUCAUUUUGACACUUUUACACAUUGUAUUAAGUUAAGAGAAUGAAGUUUGUAAAACGUUACAUAUGUGUUUCAAGGUACACACUGUUACUGUUGCAUAACAACUGUGAAGCUACCACCACCACACAUUAUUACAUAUCAACUAGUAGAACUCCUGUCUGUCCACAUACUGUCUCUUAAUAAAAUUCCUUGAUUUUUGACUUCGGUAAACCAUGUCAAGUGACCAUUUCAAGCAGUAACCUUCUGCAUAUCAAACUGUUGACAAAACUAUUACUUCCAUCAUUCUGAUUCAAUUCCAUAUUGCAUACACCUGAAACUCAGAGAAUCCUGCUUAGUAGAA